rnacentral:rRNA from 1 species
AGGACGAACGCUGGCGGCGUGCUUAACACAUGCAAGUCACGGGGGCCCGCAAGGGUAACCGGCGAACGGGUGCGUAACACGUGAGCAAUCUGCCGAUCUCUGGGGGAUAGCCGGCCCAACGGCCGGGUAAUACCGCAUACGAUCACCGAGGGGAGUCCCUUGGUGAUGAAACCUCCGGGGGAGAUCGAGGAGCUCGCGCCCUAUCAGCUAGUUGGUGAGGUAAUGGCUCACCAAGGCUACGACGGGUAGC